rnacentral:rRNA from 1 species
UACGUAGGUGGCAAGCGUUGUCCGGAUUUAUUGGGUUUAAAGGGUGCGUAGGCGGCCUUGUAAGUCAGUGGUGAAAUACUCCAGCUUAACUGGAGGGGUGCCAAUGAUACUGCAGGGCUUGAGUACAGAUGAGGUAGGCGGAAUUGACGGUGUAGCGGUGAAAUGCAUAGAUAUCGUCAAGAACACCGAUAGCGAAGGCAGCUUACUGGGCUGUAACUGACGCUGAGGCACGAAAGUGUGGGGAGCAAACAGG